rnacentral:rRNA from 1 species
AGCAGUGGGGAAUAUUGGACAAUGGGCGAAAGCCUGAUCCAGCCAUGCCGCGUGUGUGAAGAAGGUCUUCGGAUUGUAAAGCACUUUAAGUUGGGAGGAAGGGCAGUAAAUUAAUACUUUGCUGUUUUGACGUUACCGACAGAAUAAGCACCGGCUAACUCUGUGCCAGCAGCCGCGGUAAUACAGAGGGUGCAAGCGUUAAUCGGAAUUACUGGGCGUAAAGCGCGCGUAGGUGGUUCGUUAAGUUGGAUGUGAAAUCCCCGGGCUCAACCUGGGAACUGCAUUCAAAACUGACGAGCUAGAGUAUGGUAGAGGGUGGUGGAAUUUCCUGUGUAGCGGUGAAAUGCGUAGAUAUAGGAAGGAACACCAGUGGCGAAGGCGACCACCUGGACUGAUACUGACACUGAGG